AGAUGGCGACCGGCGCACGGGUGAGUAACACGUAUCCAACCUGCCGAUAACCCGGGGAUAGCCUUUCGAAAGAAAGAUUAAUACCCGAUGGUAUAAUCAGACCGCAUGGUCUUGUUAUUAAAGAAUUUCGGUUAUCGAUGGGGAUGCGUUCCAUUAGGCAGUUGGUGAGGUAACGGCUCACCAAACCUUCGAUGGAUAGGGGUUCUGAGAGGAAGGUCCCCCACAUUGGAACUGAGGCACGGUCCAA
rnacentral:rRNA from 1 species